rnacentral:lncRNA from 1 species
UGUUUUUGAAAGGGCCCAGCAGGGAAGAUCAGACUCACCUGAAUCCAGCUGUGUGUCCAUGAAGAGUGACCAGUCUAUGAUACUGUCUAUAGAAUUCAGACAGAAAGCCUUCCCUACAAAACAAGGGGUCCAGCAGGAGAGAUCAGACUCACCUGUACCCAGCUGUGUCCAUGAAGAGUGACCAGUCAAUGAAGCUGCCUAUAGAAUUCAGACAGGCAGUCUUCCAGACAAAACAAGGAUGCUCGAAGACCACUAUCUAUUUUGUGAUGAAAGAGCUGAAGAGGUUCAAAAUGUUUCUGAGUCCUGAUCUUCCAGAAUGCUUUGAGAGUCAGAGGGAGGAUGCAGAAAUGGUGGACGCUGAAGAUGAGAAGCAGGAGAGCAUUUGCCAGAGAGGGGGCUCGGCAGAUCACACUGCAUUUCCUGAGGAACAUGAACCAGAAGGAGCCAGCUGACAUAAUGGAGAAAGAUGAGCUUCAUAUAUAAUGAACCAGAAUCAGAUGGGAGUUUUAGCUAAGGUCCUUGGCCCAAUCCAGGUGAAACAUAUUGAAACAGCAUCCAGGAGACUAACAACACACAACAUGCCAAUCAAAUGUAAUGACUUCUUUAAACCCCGACCUGCU